CCACGUGUCGAUACAUCAAUGUGUGGCUGCAGGAAAUUGCUGAGUGCAAAAUAAUCUCCAUCAAGAUCUGCGUGUUUGUUGAUCAGUAGAUGCAUGAUAUAUGAUAGAUACACCAUCCUAUCCAGAUCAGGUCUCCAGGAUUUAAAUCUAUAUGAUGAAUUAAAAUUUUCUGUGAAAUUCUAGCUGGUUGCUCUGGUGAAUAUUGGAAAACAUGAAGCCUUUCAUCCCCAGAAUGGCUUUUAUUGGGGCAGACGAGUAAGUGCUUCACAGCCUUUUCCAUUAUGGAGGAGAACUUUUAAAGCACAAGUGUGGUUGAGAAGAAAUGAAAUUUCCUUUCCAGAUUGGCUUAAGGUGCUAAAAAAUGCUGUAAUUGUUGUUAGUGCCAUACAGACAAGGUGGGACAGCACAGAGAGUCAGAUGAAAUUUAAUGAUAAGUGAUAAUGUCAGCUCUGUUCAUAUUAACCAAGCAUGAGUUUGAGGUUAUGUUUCUCUUCCAAUUUAUCUGAAUUUCUCUGUUUUUAUUUUAUUUUAUUAUGUGUCCUCAGGGCAUGGACAAAACUUUACCUGAUUGUCUGGAGCCAGCACAGAAAGGCAUAACUUUGGGCUUCUUAAGAUCUACAGAUGGGAACCUCUUGGCAGCGUGUGCAGAAACGAUCAGCAUCCAUCGUCCAGUCUGGGAUUUCACAGGGAAUCUGGUGCCAGGAGCCAUUUGGAUGAUGCCAGCCUGCUGAACACACCCAGGUAAAGCCCAGUGCAUGCUUUGCUGGAUCGAGCCCAUGCACAUCCUCCCAUUCAGGACCACACU
rnacentral:lncRNA from 1 species